rnacentral:rRNA from 1 species
AUUGAACGCUGGCGGCAGGCCUAACACAUGCAAGUCGAGCGGAGCGGCGGAAGGGUGAGUAAUGCCUAGGAAUCUGCCUGGUAGUGGGGGAUAACGUCCGGAAAUGGGCGCUAAUCCCGCAUACUAUCAGAUGAGCCUAGGUCGGAUGAGCUAGUUGGUGGGGUAAAGGACUACCUAGGCGACGAUCCGUAACUGGUCUGAGAGGAUGAUCAGUCACACUGGGUCUGUGACACGGUCCAGACUCCUACGUGAGGAAGCAGUGGGGAAGAUUGGACAAUGGGCGAAUGCCCGAUCCAGCCAUGCCGCGUGUGUGAAGAAGGUCUUCGGAUUGUAAAGCACUUUAAGUUGGGAGGCGUUACCAGCAGAAUAAGCACCGGCUAACUACGUGCCAGCAGCCGCGGUAAUAC